AUUGAACGCUGGCGGCAGGCCUAACACAUGCAAGUCGAGCGGAUGAAGGGAGCUUGCUCCUGGAUUCAGCGGCGGACGGGUGAGUAAUGCCUAGGAAUCUGCCUGGUAGUGGGGGAUAACGUCCGGAAACGGGCGCUAAUACCGCAUACGUCCUGAGGGAGAAAGUGGGGGAUCGUCGGACCUCACGCUAUCAGAUGAGCCUAGGUCGGAUUAGCUAGUUGGUGGGGUAAAGGCCUACCAAGGCGACGAUCCGUAACUGGUCUGAGUGGAUGAUCAGUCACACUGGAACUGAGACACGGUCCAGACUCCUACGGGAGGCAGCAGUGGGGAAUAUUGGACAAUGGGCGAAAGCCUGAUCCAGCCAUGCCGCGUGUGUGAAGAAGGUCUUCGGAUUGUAAAGCACUUUAAGUUGGGAGGAAGGGCAGUAAGUUAAUACCUUGCUGUUUUGACGUUACCAGCAGAAUAAGCACCGGCUAACUUCGUG
rnacentral:rRNA from 1 species